rnacentral:lncRNA from 1 species
ACAUGCAUACUAUGACUGAUCAGAGACCUAUUAUUAGAUCCCCGCACAUGUACUUAAUGAUUAUAGGAAGACCUCAGGAGUUCACAUUUGUUUAAUGCAUUUUUAUUAAGCCGUAUCUGUAAAAGAAGUACGAGUAUCCUUGUCUGUACUAUAAGGUUCACGAUUUGGUUUUCACAUAAAGAUAGAGGUUGAAUACCCUG